GCCGCGGGCCGCGGGCGCGAGCGUUGCGCGGUCACCGUCCCCGAUUGCAAGUUAUGAGCUGUGGUAACCGCACCAGCUUCCUCCACCCGACGGCAACCCCCGCCAGAGAAAGUGUGAAACGCGGCGUCGUGCAAACUUGACCCAGAGCCAAGCCCGGGAGUGACGGCGUUAUUGAUUUCCUACUUUGAGCCAGGAUACUUCUGAGAGAGAAUGGGGGUGAGGACUGCAUAGGAAGCUGGGAUAGUAGUGAAUUAUCUGGAAAACCUGGACAUAUGGUCUCCUUGGCCAUUACAAGCUCUAGAAGCCAUAUGCUCUAGUUACUCAUCAGACCAGCUUUGUCCCUGAAUGCUAUAUAUGUAAGAGAGGAUGUAAAAAUUAAUAAAGGCCUUUCCACUGAUAUGUUGAUAUGUGUUUGGGGAAACCAAGUACAUUCAAAACAA